rnacentral:rRNA from 1 species
AGAGUUUGAUCCUGGCUCAGAACGAACGCUGGCGGCGCGUUUUAAGCAUGCAAGUCGAACGGCAAGCACUGUAGCAAUAUGGUGCUGAGAGUGGCGAACGGGUGAGUAACACGUAGGUGAUCUACCCUUGGGUGGGGGAUAGUCCGUGGAAACACGGGGUAAUACCGCAUGAGGCCUUGUGGAUAGAGCCAUGAGGUGAAAGGUGCAAUUGCACCGUCUGGGGAUGAGCCUGCGCUCCAUUAGGUAGUUGGCGGGGUAAGAGCCCACCAAGCCUCCGAUGGAUAGCCGGCCUGAGAGGGUGUACGGCCACACUGGAGCUGAGACACGGUCCAGACUCCUACGGGAGGCAGCAGCUAAGAAUCUUCCGCAAUGGGGGAAACCCUGACGGAGCGACGCCGCGUGGACGAUGGAGGCCGUAAGGUUGUAAAGUCCUUUUGCAGGUGAAGAAUAAGCCGGGGAGUGGAAAGCCCUGGUGAUGACGUUAGCCUGCGAAUAAGCCCCGGCCAAUUACGUGCCAGCAGCCGCGGUAAUACGUAUGGGGCAAGCGUUGUUCGGAGUUAUUGGGCGUAAAGGGCGUGUAGGCGGCUCAUCAAGUCUGGUGUGAAAUCGCGGGGCUCAACCCUGCGUAUGCGCUGGAAACUGGUGGGCUUGAGUUCUUGAGGGGAAGCUGGAAUUCCAGGUGUAGGGGUGAAAUCUGUAGAUAUCUGGAAGAACACCGGUGGCGAAGGCGAGCUUCUAUCAGAGGACUGACGCUGAGGCGCGAAAGCGUGGGGAGCAAACAGGAUUAGAUACCCUGGUAGUCCACGCUGUAAACGAUGUGCACUAGGCGUGGGGCACGUACGUGUUCUGUGCCGUAGCUAACGUGAUAAGUGCACCGCCUGGGGAGUAUGCUCGCAAGGGUGAAACUCAAAGGAAUUGACGG